CCAAAGGUCAAUGGUCGCCUAGAGAAGGGUUUUCCUCUUCCCUCUAUUGGAAAGAUGAACCUUGUCAACACUCAGCUGCAGGUCCUGAAGGACUACAUGCUGAUUGGGACAGACGUUCAGUUCACAGGAUAAGUGCCAUGUAAA